GACAGAGGAUGCAAGCGUUAUCCGGAAUGAUUGGGCGUAAAGCGUCUGUAGGUGGCUUUUUAAGUCUGCCGUCAAAUCCCAGGGCUUAACCCUGGACAGGCGGUGGAAACUACCAAGCUGGAGUACGGUAGGGGCAGGGGGAAUUUCCGGUGGAGCGGUGAAAUGCGUAGGGAUCGGAAAGAACACCAACGGCGAAAGCACUCUGCUGGGCCGACACUGACACUGAGAGACGAAAGCUAGGGGAGCGAAUGGG
rnacentral:rRNA from 1 species